GCACCUGAGGGCCCAAAGACCUGACUCUUAAGGUUUAUUAUGAGUUCCUAAAUUUAAAGCAUGAUAAGAUUCACAGUUUUCUUAAGACUCAUGCUACCUAAGCAGGGGUGGGGGAUUACAUUACGGGUUAUGUAGCUCCAGAGACCUUCUGGUCUGUCAGGGUACAUACCCAAGUUCAUUUAAUGUUGUGCCAUUGCCAUUUGACACUCCCCACCCCCCACCCCAUUUGACACAUUUAUUGUAUUUUGGUCUUCUUUAACACUUUUAAAAUACUUUUUCUAUGGCUAUUUAAUUUUGAAUAAUAUUGGGAUGAAAAGCAUGAAAUAUAUUUUAAGAAAAAUGGUUGUCGAACACAAUAUUCUUAAACAUGACUGAAAGCUUUCAGAGUUUAUAAUCUUGGUGCUUUAUGACACAGUUUAAUUCAUAGGCUUCAAGGGGAAGGCUUGAAAGUUCCAAGUUUAAUGUGUGAGCAUUUGCUUUAUUUGUUUCCGCAUAUUCCCCACCACUGAAGCCUAAGGGUUCUGGGAAUCAUGGCCACUGAGAUGUGCACUCUAGUCCCGUGCAAACAUUUCUUCUCAAAAGGGGAUGCCAACAUGAAUAGGGAGUGUGUCUUCUGGCCUGCCUUAACAUAUGCAGUGUCCCCACUAUUCUGCCCCUGUUCUUCCAACACUGAAGCAAGGUCUGAAAGAGGUUUUCUUAGCACAUUUAGCUGAAUAAGCUUAGAAGGCUCCUCACAAUUUAUUUAUUUGUUGUAUUUAUAUCUCACCUUUUCUCCAAGGAGCUCAGUGUGGUGUUAAUAGUUCUCCCCCUCCUCAUUUAAUCUCCACAACAACCCAUGAGUUCAGCUAGGCUGAAAGGCAGUGACUGGCUGAGUGGGGAUUUGAACCCUGUUCCAGUGGCGGACUUUGGGCUUUAAAAUCUCGGUGCCCCUGUUGUUUGUCAUUGUUGCGGCACCCUCGUGGCUCGGUGUACAUUGCAGGUGAACCGGUCAUGCUCCUCUAAAUCCACCUCUGUCUGUUCUCCCAGGUCAUAGUCCGACACUCUAACCACUAUACUGUAUCGCACUCAUCCUGGUAGUGCAAGGUUUCCAAUUGCAGAGAGUUCAGCUGAACACAUGUAGAAACCCACUUUUCAUUCUUUCUGGCUCAGUGUGAGAAAGUUGAAUAUGGGGCAGGGAUGCUUGGGGGGGGGGCAGCUCUAUGGCCCCUAUACAUGUUGGUAUUCCUGUUGAAGCUCCAUGUCUGAACACACCAAUAUUAAUUCUACCCACAGUGUUUUGGACACAAAAUCUAUUUUCAAAUGGGAGGAGAGUCCAGUAAACAACAAGAAGUCAGGAAAGUAUUUCUGUUUUUAAAAUCAAAUUAAGAACCCUGCUUGAUGGAAUUAAGAUAAAUUCUAUUUAGGCAUUAUUAAAUGGUAUCCAUGAAGGGGCAGCAGGCCCUGCCCAAUAAGGUUUCUGAUCGUGGCGGGGAUGGGGGACUGGGAGAUAGUUACAGUUGCCUUUAAGACAUCAAUCCUCAAAGUGGGUAGGUUAGAGGAGGGGCUGGUUCAUGGAUACAACUUGAAUAGGACCGUAAUCUAAAUAAGAAUGAAUGAAUGAACCAAACCAUAUUGUUUGUUUCAUCACUGUACAAUUCAGAAAUCAAACUCUUCAAUUCGUGGUACUUUAUUUAAUGAUUGUGUUCUGAACUGCCCUUCAUACAAUGGAUUCCAUGGCAGUGUAUAGAACUAGUAGUAUGAACUUGAAAUAAUAUACUACAUCAUAUGGAAAUGUUUAAACAACCAGCAUCACCAUGUCUAUAAAGCAGCUUUGGAGCUAAUGUACGUUGUCAGUCUGGAGAGAAAAUAAGCUGUUUAAAAUACAUAAGGAAAUGUGGAGAGAAUGUGGCUUGGCCUUUGUGUAUCAGUCAUUUUGUAGCGUCAGCAUCUUUCUGCAGUACACCUGCAUCCUUGGUCUGAGUGGUGUAGGUUAAUUAGAGGGAGGUGGUAGAGUAGCAGCUAUUGGACAGGAUUGUUUACUUUGGUCUCUUCCAAAUUGACAUUUCUGUGAAUGAUAGGAACAGUGUUGCAAAACGACAAAGCCAUAUCACGUAUAGCUGAUCAAUCAUUAAUACUGAAUAAACUAAAGGGAUAUCAAUAGUGCACAAUUAGUUCUAUGAAAUUAGCUUGUUAUUUGGUUGUCUUGUUUAUUUCUUUUUGUGUAUUAGGGGGCUUGAUUGUUAUCAUUAUUUAUUAAAUUUGAAUACUGCCCUUCAUCCAAAGAUCACAGUAAGUACGGCCUGAAUGAUUUUAGCAACUUCCCUAACUUUUAAAAAAAGUUAUUAUAUAAAAAUCACUUCACCACCCCAUCUCCUACCACACAGUUUGUACCUCAACUUAGUUCUCAUCAUGCCCACAUAGAUUAUAAUGCUGUGGUUUCGAAACCAUGCUAAAAUUUUCUGGGUUGGUACAGAAACAUGUACAAACCAUUAUGACAUAAAAUCUAGGAAUCUCACUUAUGGCAUAUAUGUAACUGCAUCCAAAGGCUGGAGAUAAUACAGGCUGGGAUCCUGGGAAUGGUGUUUGUUUGUUUGUUUCAGAGCUUUUCCACCUUUCUUCCACCUUAAUUACGUGCCCCAAUACGUCAUUUCUGACACCUGUUACUCUAAGUAGUGUCUCAGUGUCUUUAAUCUCAAUAUCCAUAUCAUUGCAGUAUUAGAUAGAUUUAAUUUUUUGGCCCCAACCACUAACUUCCUUUUUUCCCCCUACCAAAGAUCUGGCACUUUGUGAAAGGACAGUUCAUGCCAAACUGCUAUUUCAGGAUUGCAGUUGUGAGUCAUUGUUAUGCUGCUUUCUGGAGUGUAGCCACAUAGAUCCAAUAACUCCCACUUCCUCAAAAUGUAUAUAGUAUACGGAAAGACAUUUUGAGUGCACAAAUUGCCAUCCAAUUCUUAUCCGGUUCAUCCUUAUAAUUGGGUUAGGUUGGUAAUAUCUAGUUAUAUUUUAUAGAUAGGUUUGUUCAAGGCCACUUAAAACUAAUCUCCCAGCUGAAAUGCAACAUUCCAAUAGGCUGUGGUUUGUUACUGGCUAGAUUUGCAGAUGCUCAGGUAUAUAUAGCUCCAGAGCACCUGUGCUAUUCAUAUUGAUUGUUAGCACAGGCUAAUACACUGACAUAGCAUGUCUUGAUCUGGGAUGCUAGUGGGGAGGAGGGUUGACAUUGUCUGCACAUGCACCAAAAAACACAAGGGUAAGAAGAUAAUAUCUAGGGUGGGAUUUACCUUACAAACCCCAUCAGUAGAAGCCCUGCGCAAGGGCUUCAGCUUGUGCAAUGGGGCUUUCCUCCCUCUCCUUCCCUGUGCCCCUGAAGUGCCCUCUGAAAUUGGCUUGUGGGAGCCAGGAUAACGCCCAGAACAGUGUGCAGGGGAAUGGGGAUGGGAGAUUAUUCCAUAGGACACGCUGAAGUGCUUGUGAAGAUGGAACUGAAGUGCUGAAUUCUACUCAAAGGGUUGUGUGACUCAGUGCUGUGUGAGCAGUGUUCCACUCGCACAAAGAGACUUCUUCUAUUUCUCCUUACCCAACCCUCUGGAGCAGAUUUUGAGACUGUGCGUGGGCUGCAGGGGAAAGAGGAGGAGUUAUGUUGCAGAAGAUUGCUUAGUGAGCGGAACAGCAGUGUUGGAUACAACCAUUAGGCUGCAACCCAAUGCCUACCUACUUGGAAGCCCUGCUACAUUAACUGGGAUUUACUUCUGAGUAAACAUGCUGUUGGUUGGUUGAGAUGGUUGGAUAGUGUUGUUGAAGCUACCAGCAUGAGUUUGACCAAACUGUGGGAGGCAGUGGAAGACAGGAGUGCCUGGCGUGCUCUGGUCCAUGGGGUCACGAAGAGUCGGACAUGACUAAACAACAACAACAAACAUGCUGUAGGAGACCUUUGCAGAAUGAUGUAAAACAGGGAUGGAGAACCUACAACUCUACCUUUGGCCCUUAGUAUUAUCCAGCUGUCUAGGUACUGCAGGCCCACUCUUGCUCUGAGCCCCUCUGAGAAUCACUUGAGACAUAUGUAUAUAAAGGAUGGAGCACAUGCCAUCAUACAGUGCUGCCAAUUCCACCCCACUUUGGGUUCUGGCUCCACACAUCAUUGGCUGCAUCCCCUGACUGACUUUUCCUGUGGGUAAACAGCUCUUCAUAGGAAACAGGUUCCCAACCCCAGUGCAAAAAACGGUGGCAACAAAUGGAGUUAAAAACUUGUCUCAGAACUGAAAUCUGUUAGACAAGCAUCAUAAUCACUGUUGGCAUGGAGGGCAAAGGAGGUAAGAUAUUAAACAUGUUCAAUCCCUAACAUUACUGUAUUGGCUCAAAAGGAAUGCUGUGUUUUGAUGCACUAUAGAGAAACUCCACAUGGUUGGUUAGGGUUACAUUUAUGCCAGCAUAAUUGAGUGGAACAAGAUGGGGUCCAAAAAAGAAAUUUUGUCUCUGCUCGAUUCUCGUAAAAAAGAGAAAGAGAAAAGACAAUUUUAAAAAAUGUUUUCCUUCUUUGUUCAGCUCAGUAAUGUAGACAGUGAGUCACUCAAGCCGUCCCUGCACUGCAUUAGAAUAGCCAUCAAAGUCAGUCUAGAUCAUUUGGAUCAUGUCACUUGUCCUGAAACGUGUAGCUGUUUUUAAAGAAAGAACAUGUCAUGUUCUUUAUGAGGAUCUUUAAUGCAUGAAACUUGUUUAAAGCUUUAAUAAAUCAAGUCAUCACUCUUCAUCCUAUGUCUGAUCCUUAUGCAUGGCAGUCUUAUGUCUUUCUCUUGGGCUAAGAAAAAGACGAGAAAUGAAUCCUCUGCUCAAAAAGGUUACUAAUAAUUUCAUACAAAAAUAUAAAAUAUAUAGAUUAGAAGGUGAAAGCAGUGCCUGUAGUUGGCUGCAAUGCAGGCAAUGCUAUUCCUCAAUAAACAUUUAAGAAUUUCUACAAAGAGUGGCUUUUUCAUUUAUAACUGGAUCACUAAAUCUUCCAUUUCCUCUUGAAAAAGAUCAGGGGAAACUUUGGCAUACCGGUAGCAUGGGAUGUGACAUGGGAAUCUGUAUCUGGAGGGGGUGUCAGAAACCAGGAUGGGUGUAAGUGCCUUUCAUUUUGUAGUUCAGCAAGGUUGGAUCCAAGCCAUCUUUGUCUACUCUACUCUAAGCCUUUUCAUUUACUGACUUUUCAAAUCUUAAGUUCCAACCACUCCUGUCUUUGUAGCUGACUUAAACAUGCGGCACAAUGUGUGAAGUGUUUUGAUUUGUUGCCAUGAUGACAGUGUCAACUUAACUACAGCUGACAAACAGUUUUUAAAUAGAACAUUUCAAUUCAUUAUAGUAUUCUCCAUCUGUUUUCUCUCUCCCUAUCCCAUCUCUUUACUUAUGCAAAACAUGGAGAAAAUUUUAUUGCAAUGAGUUAGUGAUUUUAGUCAUGCUGGCCACUUGACCCGGAAAGCUGUCUGCGGACAAACGUCGGCUCCCUCAGCCUGAAAGCAGAGAGGAGCGCCACACCCCAUAGUUGUCUUUGACUGGACUCAACCAUCCAGGGGUCCUUUACCUUUACCAUUAGUAAAAGUUAUAUCUC